CCUACGGGAGGCAGCAGUAGGGAAUAUUGCUCAAUGGGGGAAACCCUGAAGCAGCAACGCCGCGUGGAGGAUGAAGGUUUUCGGAUUGUAAACUCCUUUUGUUAGAGAAGAUAAUGACGGUAUCUAACGAAUAAGCACCGGCUAACUCCGUGCCAGCAGCCGCGGUAAUACGGCGGGUGCAAGCGUUACUCGGAAUCACUUGGCGUAAAGAGCGCGUAGGGGGGAUAGCAAGUCAGAUGUGAAAUACUAUGGCUUAACCAUAGAACUGAAUUUGAAACCGUUUAUCUAGGGGAUGGGAGAGGGUGGGUGGAAGUCUGGUUGUAGGGGAAAAACCCGAAGAGACAAAGGGAA
rnacentral:rRNA from 1 species